AUGGGGGAAAGGGAGAGUUAUAGUGACAGGGUAGUUGGCAAAAGACAGCUCAAGUUGGGACACCUCCAGCAGGUGAAUGCAGCCAGGGAAGUGCGCAUGGGAUGUGGCUAUGGAGGAUGCUCUUGUAUCCCUCCUGGGAAACCUGCAUGCUCGAUCACCUCUCUGAAAUGCCUGUACACCAAUGCACGCAGCAUGGGGAACAAACAGGAAGAACUAGAGAUCUGUGUGCGGUCGCAGGACCAUGAUCUCAUUGCCAUUAUAGAGACAUGGUGGGAUAGCUCGCAUGACUGGAGUGCUGUCAUGGAUGGCUACGUGCUUUUUAGGAAAGACAGGCCAGGAAAGCGAGGUGGUGGAGUUGCUCUUUAUGUGAGAGAGCAACUGGAAUGUAUUGAGCUGUGCCUAGGGGUGGAUGAAGAGCGAGUCGAGAGCUUAUGGGUAAGGAUUAAAGGGCAGGCUAGCAUGGGUGACACUGUUAUGGGUGUUUACUGCAGGCCACCUGAUCAGGAAGAGGAAGUCGAUGAGGCCUUCUACAGACAGCUGGAAGUAGCCAAUGCAGUAGACAAUGCAGCCAGGCUCAAACAGUCCUGGAGGUUCCUGCAGAGCACUGAUGAGAACUUCUUGACACAGGUGGUGGAGGAGCCAACAAGGAGAGGUGUGCUGCUGGACCUUGUACUAACAAACAAAGAAGGACUGGUGGAAGAUGUGAAGGUCGGGGGCAGCCUUGGCUGCAGUGACCAUGAGAUGGUGGAGUUCAGGAUCCUGCGAGGAGGCAGCAGGGCACCAAGUAGGAUCGCAACCCUGGAGUUCAGGAGAGCAAACUUUGGCCUCUUCAGGGACCUACUUGGAGGAAUCCCAUGGGUUACAGCCCUAGAAGGAAGGGGUGUUCAAGAGAGCUGGUUAAUAUUCAAACAUCACUUCCUCCAAGCUCAAGAGCGGUGCAUCCCUAGGAGUAGGAAGUCAAGCAAAGGAGGCAGGAGACCUGCAUGGAUGAGCAAGGAGCUCCUGGCAAAACUCAACCAGAAGAAGGAAGUAUACAGAAAGUGGAAAGGGGGACAGGCCACUUGGGAGGAAUAUAGGAACGUUGUCAGAGUAUGCAGGGAUGCGACGAGGAAGGCUAAGGCCCGUUUGGAAUUAAAUCUGGCGAGAGAUGUCAAGGACAACAUGAAGGGCUUCUUCAAAUACAUCAGUAGCAAAAGGAAGACUAGGGGAAAUGUGGGCCCACUGCUGAUUGGGGUGGGUGCCCUGGUGACGAAGGAUGCAGAGAAGGCAGAGUUACUGAAUGCUGCCUUUGCUUCAGUCUUUACUGCUCAGGCCAGCCCUCAGGAAUCCCAGGCCCUGGAGGCAAGAGAGAAAGUCUGGAGAAAGGAAGACUUUCCCUUGGUGGAGGAGGAUCGGGUUAGAGAUCAUUUAGGCAAACUUGACACCCACAAAUCCAUGGGGCCUGAUGGGAUGCACCACGAGUGCUGA
rnacentral:lncRNA from 1 species